rnacentral:rRNA from 1 species
UACGUAGGGCGCAAGCGUGUCCGGAAUUAUUGGGCGUAAAGAGCUCGUAGGCGGCUUGUCACGUCGAUUGUGAAAGCCCGAGGCUUAACCUCGGGUCUGCAGUCGAUACGGGCUAGCUAGAGUGUGGUAGGGGAGAUCGAAUUCCUGGUGUAGCGGUGAAAUGCGCAGAUAUCAGGAGGAACACCGGUGGCGAAGGCGGAUCUCUGGGCCAUUACUGACGCUGAGGAGCGAAAGCGUGGGGAGCGAACAGG